GAGGGUAUAGCUCAGUUGCAGAGUGUGUGGUUAGCAUGUACAGGGUCCUGGGUUCAAUUCCCAGAACCUCCA
rnacentral:tRNA from 1 species